UGGGGUGUAGCCAAGCGGUAAGGCACCGGGUUUUGGUCCCGGCAUGCGGAGGUUCGAAUCCUUCCACCCCAG
rfam:Candidate division KSB1 bacterium 4484_188 ex4484_188_scaffold_61456, whole genome shotgun sequence.